CAGCGCCACGAGUGGUAACCACGUUUAUUGGGCCUAAAGCGUCCGUAGCCGGUUUGAUAAAUCUUUUGUGAAAUUGUACAGCUUAACUGUACAGCGUGCAAGAGACACUGUCAAACUUGAGACCGGGAGGAGUCAGAAGUAUUCCAGAGGGAGCGGUAAAAUGUUAUAAUCUCUGGAGGACUACCUGUGGCGAAGGCGUCUGACCAGAACGGAUCUGACGGUGAGGGACGAAAGCUAGGGGAGCGAACCGGAUUAGAGACCCGUGUAGUCC
rnacentral:rRNA from 1 species